rnacentral:rRNA from 1 species
UACAGAGGGGGCGAGCGUUGUUCGGAAUUACUGGGCGUAAAGGGCGCGUAGGCGGCCAACUAAGUCAGACGUGAAAUCCCUCGGCUCAACCGGGGAACUGCGUCUGAUACUGGAUGGCUUGAAUUCGGGAGAGGAUAGUGGAAUUCCCAGUGUAGAGGUGAAAUUCGUAGAUAUUGGGAAGAACACCGGUGGCGAAGGCGGCUAUCUGGACCGUAACUGACGCUGAGGCGCGAAAGCGUGGGGAGCAAACAGG